rnacentral:rRNA from 1 species
GGUGAACGCUGGCGGCGUGCCUAAGACAUGCAAGUCGAGCGGGGCAGGUUUAUACCUGUUCAGCGGCGGACGGGUGAGUAACGCGUGGGUGACCUACCCGGAAGAGGCGGACAACCUGGGGAAACCCAGGCUAAUCCGCCAUGUGGUCCUGUCCUGUGGGGCAGGACUAAAGGGUGGAUAGCCCGCUUCCGGAUGGGCCCGCGUCCCAUCAGCUAGUUGGUGGGGUAAAGGCCCACCAAGGCGACGACGGGUAGCCGGUCUGAGAGGAUGGCCGGCCACAGGGGCACGGAGACACGGGCCCCACUCCGACGGGAGGCAGCAGUGAGGAAUCUGCCGCAAUGGACGGAAGUCGGACGGAGCGACGCCGCUGGGAGGAGGAAGCCCUUCGGGGUGUAAACUCCUGAACUGGGGACGAAAGCCCUGUGGAGGGGGAUGACGGUACCCAGGUAAUAGCGCCGGCCAACUCCGUG